GCUGGGCAUGGUGGCACGUGCCUGUAAUCCCAGCUACUCAGGAAGCUGAGGCAGGAGAAUUGCCUGAACCCGGGAGGCAGAGGAUGUGGUGAGCCGAGAUCGCACCAUUGCACUCUAGCCUGGGUAACAAGAGUGAAACUACGUCUCAAAAAAAAAAAAAAAAAAAAAGUAUAUAGACAUAAAUUCCCAUAACCCUCAGUUCUUUUUUUUUUUUUUUUUUAAUCCGAGACGGAAUUUCGCUCUUGUUACCCAGGCUGGAGUGCAAUGGCAUGAUCUCGGCUCACCGCAACCUCCGCCUCCCGGGUUCAGGCAAUUCUCCUGCCUCAG
rnacentral:SRP_RNA from 13 species